GGCGGCGUGCCUAACACAUGCAAGUCGAACGCGCUCCAUUCGGUAGCAAUACUGAUGAAGAGUGAGUGGCGAACGGGUGAGUAGCACGUGAGCAACCUGCCCCGAAGACUGGGACAACACCGGGAAACCGGUGCUAAUACCGGAUAUCCCUAUCGGACCGCAUGAUCUGAUAAGGAAAUGGAUUCCGCUUCGGGAGGGGCUCGCGGCCUAUCAGCUAGUUGGUGAGGUAAUAGCUCACCAAGGCAUCGACGGGUAGCUGGUCUGAGAGGACGAUCAGCCACACUGGGACUGAGACACGGCCCAGACUCCUACGGGAGGCAGCAGUGGGGAAUCUUGCGCAAUGGGCGAAAGCCUGACGCAGCAACGCCGCGUGGAGGACGAAGGCUUUCUGAGUUGUAAACUCCUUUCAGCAGGGACGAUUGUGACGGUACCUGCAGAAGAAGCACCGGCCAACUACGUGCCAGCAGCCGCGGUGAUACGUAGGGUGCAAGCGUUGUCCGGAUUUAUUGGGCGUAAAGA
rnacentral:rRNA from 1 species